rnacentral:rRNA from 1 species
UACGGAGGGUGCAAGCGUUGUCCGGAUUCAUUGGGUUUAAAGGGUGCGCAGGCGGGCCAUUAAGUCAGGGGUGAAAGACGGUUGCUCAACAAUCGCAGUGCCUUUGAUACUGGUGGUCUUGGGUGACCGUGAGGUAGGCGGAAUGGGUGGUGUAGCGGUGAAAUGCAUAGAUACCACCCAGAACUCCGAUGCGAAGGCAGCCUACUGGUGGUUAACCGACGCUCAGGCACGAAAGCGUGGGGAUCAAACAGG